UACGGAGGGUGCAAGCGUUGUUCGGAAUUACUGGGCGUAAAGCGUCUGUAGGCGGUUAGAGAAGUCGGGUGUGAAAUCCCCAGGCUCAACCUGGGAAUUGCGCUCGAAACCAUCUAGCUUGAGUGUCAGAGGGGUACGUGGAAUUCCCAGUGUAGCAGUGAAAUGCGUAGAUAUUGGGAGGAACACCGAUGGUGAAGACAACGUACUGGAUGAUAACUGACGCUGAGAGACGAAAGCGUGGGUAGCAAACAGG
rnacentral:rRNA from 1 species